AAUCUUCCGCAAUGGACGCAAGUCUGACGGAGCAACGCCGCGUGAGUGAUGAAGGUUUUCGGAUCGUAAAACUCUGUUGUUGGGGAAGAACAAGUACCGUUCGAAUAGGUCGGUACCGUGACGGUACCUAACCAGACAGCCACGGCUAACUUCGUGCCAGCCUCCCCCGUAAUACGUAGGUGGCAAGCGUUAUCCGGAAUUAUAGGGCGUAAAGCGCGCGCAGGGGGUUUCUUAAGUCUGAUGAGAAAGCCCACGGCUCAACCGUGGAGGGUCAUUGGAAACUGGGGAACUUGAGUGCAGAAGAGGAGAGUGGAAUUCCAUGUGUAGCGGUGAAAUGCGUAGAGAUAUGGAGGAACACCAGUGGCGAAGGCGACUCUCUGGUCUGCAACUGACGCUGAGGCGCGAAAGCGUGGGGAGCAAACA
rnacentral:rRNA from 1 species